rnacentral:rRNA from 1 species
UGGGGGAUAACGUAGGGAAACUUACGCUAAUACCGCAUACGACCUACGGGUGAAAGCAGGGGANCUUCGGNCCUUGCGCGAUUGAAUGAGCCGAUGUCGGAUUAGCUAGUUGGCGGGGUAAAGGCCCACCAAGGCGACGAUCCGUAGCUGGUCUGAGAGGAUGAUCAGCCACACUGGAACUGAGACACGGUCCAGACUCCUACGGGAGGCAGCAGUGGGGAAUAUUGGACAAUGGGCGCAAGCCUGAUCCAGCCAUACCGCGUGGGUGAAGAAGGCCUUCGGGUUGUAAAGCCCUUUUGUUGGGAAAGAAAUCCAGCCGGCUAAUACCUGGUUGGGAUGACGGUACCCAAAGAAUAAGCACCGGCUAACUUCGUGCCAGCAGCCGCGGUAAUACGAAGGGUGCAAGCGUUACUCGGAAUUACUGGGCGUAAAGCGUGCGUAGGUGGUUGUUUAAGUCUGUUGUGAAAGCCCUGGGCUCAACCUGGGAACUGCAGUGGAAACUGGACAACUAGAGUGUGGUAGAGGGUAGCGGAAUUCCCGGUGUAGCAGUGAAAUGCGUA